CAGCCGCAGUCCUCUGCCGAUCAAGACUCACCGAAAUCGGACGAGUCACUCACCCAAACUCGCCUCAUAUGAUCCCCCAUGGUCCCCCCUCCUCUCAUCUCCUUCUUCCACGUCACCUACUCGUACAAAUCUCAUGAUUCUUUAAACCGAUUCACGCCUCUCUUCAUUCUUUUUGUUUUUUUUGAAGCAAAUCUGAACCCUUGAAUAAAUUUUGGAAGAAUGGGAACCAUUGGAUGAAGAUUUUUGUCCAAAGUUUUCAUUUUUCCGAUUUUUGUUUGUAAAAGAGGAUUUCCGGAUUUGAUUUUGUGGCCCCACAUGAUUUCUUGCUGAAGAAGGAGAAGCAUCGAGAGAGAGUUAUAUAUUGAGGUUUUGGGCAGAGAUUUCGGAAAAACAUUUCAAGAAAGAUUGGAGAUGGAGAAAAAUUAGGGUUCUUUCUUUCAUUGGGAUUUUUUUUUCAAUUUUCUUUCUUUCAAAAAUUCAAAAAAAAAAGAGCUUGAGUUUCUUUCAAAUUUUGUUUCUAACUCAGAAAAUCAGAAACAUAUAAAAGAUCUUAAUUCAUUUUUUUCUGGAUUUUGCUUCAAACGUGGAAUUCGAUUAAAGUUUAGGUUCGAGGUUUGCAUCUGGUUUGAGAUUCGAGGUGUCGUCCGAGGUUUAAGGUCGUGAUUCUUGGUCCAGUCUAGCCACUGUACUUGC
rnacentral:lncRNA from 1 species